rnacentral:rRNA from 1 species
GUUGUCCGGAUUAUUGGGCGUAAAGGGCUUGUAGGCGGUUGGUCGCGUCUGCCGUGAAAUUCUCUGGCUUAACUGGGGGCGUGCGGUGGGUACGGGCUGACUUGAGUGCGGUAGGGGAGACUGGAACUCCUGGUGUAGCGGUGGAAUGCGCAGAUAUCAGGAAGAACACCGGUGGCGAAGGCGGGUCUCUGGGCCGUUACUGACGCUGAGGAGCGAAAGCGUGGGGAGCGAACAGGAUUAGAUACCCUGGUAGUCCACGCUGUAAACGUUGGGCACUAGGUGUGGGGGCCACCCGUGGUUUCUGCGCCGUAGCUAACGCUUUAAGUGCCCCGCCUGGGGAGUACGGCCGCAAGGCUAAAACUCAAAGGAAUUGACGGGGGCCCGCACAAGCGGCGGAGCAUGCGGAUUAAUUCGAUGCAACGCGAAGAACCUUACCAAGGCUUGACAUGCACGGCGGCACUGCAGAGAUGUGGUGGCAUUUGGUUGGUCGUGUGCAGGUGGUGCAUGGUUGUCGUCAGCUCGUGUCGUGA